rnacentral:lncRNA from 1 species
CUGAUCAUCACCUGUACGGAGAUCGGGUUCCACGGCCACCACUGCCUCGCCGAGAACUAGACUUCUUUAAUCUGUUCAUCCUGAUUCGAGAUUUGGGUAUGGAUUUGGGUUAAAGACUGUCGCUGGGAGGAGAGGGAUGCUAAGGUCAUGGGUGAUUGGGGGCGUACCUCAAUUCGGACCUGGAAUCCUUUUGUACAGCAGGCUGACGAACCUGGCACAGAGAUGACUGGGCGUCCUCUUCUCUGUUCCUAGUCCUUCCCUACUGGUGUGGUGUGGAGUCUGGGGGCGGUCGAUUUGUAUUCCCGUUUGUG